rnacentral:rRNA from 1 species
GUGGGGAAUCUUCCGCAAUGGACGAAAGUCUGACGGAGCAACGCCGCGUGAGUGAUGAAGGUCUUCGGAUUGUAAAGCUCUGUUAAUCGGGACGAAAGAGCCUAGUGUGAAUAAUGCUAGGAAGUGACGGUACCGGAAUAGAAAGCCACGGCUAACUACGUGCCAGCAGCCGCGGUAAUACGUAGGUGGGAAGCGUUGUCCGGAAUUAUUGGGCGUAAAGCGCGCGCAGGCGGAUCUGCCAGUCUGUCUUAAAAGUUCGGGGCUUAACCCCGUGAUGGGAUGGAAACUACAGAUCUAGAGUAUCGGAGAGGAAAGUGGAAUUCCAAGUGUAGCGGUGAAAUGCGUAGAGAUUUGGAAGAACACCAGUGGCGAAGGCGACUUUCUGGACGAUGUCUGACGCUGAGGCGCGAAAGCUAGGGGAGCGAACGGGAUUAGAAACCCCUGUAGUCC